rnacentral:sRNA from 1 species
ACAAAAAAGCAAAAUACAUAUUUGCAUGAAAUUGGUCAAACAAAAAAUAAUUGCUCAUAUAUACACAGCCAUUUGAGUGUAUUUUUAACCAUGGAGCAGGUGUAGCCAUCAAGUAUUAAACAGCCAAAUGAAAUGCAACUGACACUUUGAACAGAGUUUUCAUCGUGUAAAUAUUAAUAACAACUUUUCACUUUUCGCACAGCGGAAAGUGUCACUCAAAGUCAAGAGAGCAACGAUUUUCCGUACACUUCUCGUAUCGACCAAACAAUUUUGACGUCAAUGGUAUAAAGUGAGCCCCAAGGAUAGUUUUAUUUGCAAAGCCAAAAAAAAAGGCAAAAAAAGCAAAAGAUGGCAAACAAAUUGAGCAGUUAAAAGCCAAAUUAAUGGCCACGAUUAAAGCUGGCUGUAGGUUUAGUAUCAAUUCAGUUUUUAAAUUCGAUUCAAGCUUUCAUUCAUCAAAUUUGACAGGCGUGAAAGUGAAAUUCUUUGUGGCAGGCAUAUUAAUAGCGAAAGAGAUUUAAAUGGAUUAUUUUAAAAGAAAUUCGAAUUAAGAUAUAAGUAAGAAAAUUAUAUAGUAAAUUAUAAGCUAACCUUUAACCUGCUAUAUGCAUAAGUGCAUCCUGUAAUUCUUGGAAUACUUCUGAUAAUGGAUAUAGGGAAAUUUCCUGGAAUACUUUAAAAAUCAAUGCGGCUGACAUCUGUGAAAGUGAAAUUCCGAUGUGUUAAUGAAGCUCACAGCAAAGAGAAAAUGGCAUUACACAAAUAGAGAAAGAGAAAGAUAAGACCGAGAGGGCGGGACGCUGAUAAAACUAACGUGGCUCGAAUCAACUCAACUUGGCUCAGAGCUGAGCAGAGCAGACAACUGCUGUUAUAAACCGCUUUCAGGAAUUCGCCGGCAACGCCUCGGUUUUCGAUUUUUUUUUCUUCCAGUCGGAUCUUUUUUAAUGCGCCAUUGUUUGAGAAGAGAUUUCCCAAGGCCUUGCAACGACUGAAACCGCGAAUGAGACAUAAAUCUGGCAUCGCCUUGGCUGCCGCUGACUAAACUGUGACUAAAUGCAGUUAAAGCUGGGACCGGGCCAACAACGAACAGUUGUACUUUUCAUAAUUACCAGCUAUUAAAAUCUUGCCAGCAUCUAAAAAGCGAAUGAAAAGACUGAAGGCUGUCCGUAAGCCAGCUGCUUUUCGGGGAAGUCCGAAGCCAAAGAACCGAAGAACCUUUCCCAAAACUAAGAAUUGGCCAAGACAAAGGCGCAAGCUGAAAGAUUAAUUAUAAAUCGUAUUCAAACUUAAAAGCCACAAAAAACCGUCCAGCUGUUUGACGGCCAGCUCUCUGCUUUUUUCAUUAUUAUUUUUAAUUUUUCGACUUCAGUUUCGAUUGUGUUUUAUAAUCAGAUAUUGGGCUCAACUUCUGCGGUUGCUGCUUGCUGCUCGAUUGGCAGACAAUGACCUUUUAACAUGCCGCUUCAGUGCGCACUCAACUGAAGUCGUUUGCACAGACACAAUUAAACAUUUUCAUCUUGUUGGAUUUUGUAUGAAUAGUGAUUCGAACUGUUCGUUUGCAUGAUCUAGCCGCAGAGUCGUGAUUUGCAGUGGCAAAUAUUUGUCUGUCUAAUUUCAACAUUAAUUUCUGCCAUGCAAAACAGAAAAAAAAAACACAAAACUCAACUGCUGGCGAUCGAAUUAAUUGAGCUGGCGACUUUGGAGCUGCCGCAUUUAUUUAUUACAGUAGUCGCAUAUUUUAUUUUAUAAGCUUUUGUAUUCGCUGCUCCUUCUUUUUUAGCUUGUUUGACUAGCCAGCCAUGCAAUCUUGAUUGUACACAAAAAAAACUUAAUUUAAUACUUUCAAAAAGAAGAUUAUAUUGAAAUCUUUAGCUUUGAAGAUUUUUCAAUACACUGACCAUUCCGCAAUUUAUUCUUACACAUAACUAAAAUUGAUUUAUUUUAACUCUAAUUAGUUGGAAUUUCUUGCAGUGCACCGGUUCCCAUUGUUGCGAUUUACCUGCUUUCUGCAGCUUUAUCGAUAGUAGCCUUGGGAACAUCUAUUUAUCUACCGGGUGUUGUAAUUGCCCGCCUAUUAAUAAUGAUUACCAGCAAAUGUGAGUGCGAAUGCGAUGUCUGGUCGUUGAUUAGCUGGGUGGUUCUGACGUUUUCUAGCAUCGAGUCAAUGCUAUUUAUGUAUGUUGCCUUGCUCCCUGCUUAUUUAUAGACCUGAUUCUAAGCACGUCUCUUAAUGUUGCCACUCUUUGUUGCCUGUGUUGCUGCAUCUGUUGCUGCUGCUGCUGCAGAUGCAGUUGCAGUUGCAGUUGCGUUUUGCCUGCAUGGGAAGUGCAUUGAAACGAAAUGAGUGCAAAUCAGCAAUGGCAACGGGGCGUAUGAGCAACAAUGCACAGAAGCAGUGGCGGCAAGCAAAACAAAGGCCUGCCUGGCAUAAUAAACAGCUGCAAAGUAGCACGAACCGCCAGUUGGCAAAGGAAAAUGGCAGAAACAAAAAUGAAAGCCAUCUUCAGCACAAAAUCGAAGUUGUAUCACUCUUUCUAGACCGCUCUAUAAAAUUAAAUUUAUUAACAAUGUAUGCCACUUAAGGAGCGUAAAAAAGAAGGGAUAAAUAGUGAUGUAUAUUUACUUAAUUAAAGAAAUAUCACUUUAUUGUUGACUUAUUUAUUCUUCUAUUAUCUGUCUAACAAGCAAAUUUGGGUCAAAGUAACGUACUAGUUUUAAUCAUGCUGAUAAGACCGCACGUACCCCAUAACUUUUUGCUAACUUUUUUGAUUCAAUAACAUAUAAUUUGCACAUUUUGAAGUUACUUUUACUGAUAAAUCUCCCACUAAAUACAACAAAUGUAGUAGCACCCGCAAACUUGGCAAGGGCAUGAGAAAUAAAGUUAUUAUUUCGAAUGAACGCUGUGCGGUGGUAAAAACAGAAGCGAGUGAAAAUAUUUCAACAAUUUUGCGGUGCAGUUGCAGCCUGGUUAUUGUGUAGACUUGGUAAUUUGCAUGCCAAACGCAGCAGAAACAAGACAAGUAAAAAGCCAAAAACAAUAAACUACGAAUUAUAAAAAAUGGCAAAGAAAUGCGAGUGGCUAAUAAGCAACAUGAAAGAAAGAGCAGUGAACUUUUGCCCGAGGAAAGUGAAAACUCAGGGUGAUGUAAAUGAAAAGCACGAAUGCGAUUUUCGUUAGUGCUGCUCGUAUUUAAAAAAAAAAAAGAAAUAUUCUUUAAUCACAUUUACGAUCUGUCAACGAGAAAGUGCCCGCCAGCGAUACUUUUAUUCAACUCUUUUAUUAAUAUACAUCUUUUGAUUGCGUUUUUUGUGACCCGAAGCUGGCACGUUUUCCAUCAUUAAAAAUUAUGAUUGUGUCGUUAAUGCAAUGCUAAUGAGAUGCCAUUACGGUUAUGGCCCACACAUUGCCAAAAAGUGAAGAUUUCUCUUGGGCCAUUGUGUCUGCGCCAACUAUGCUAUUCUCGGUCUGUGGGUAUAGCCCAGUUAUUAGCCAUGCAACAGCGUAGAUAAUUAACACCUUUCGGCGCACACACACACACACUAUAUACAUAUAGCCACUUAAUUAAUUGCAUGGCCGACGUGCAAGUGACAACCACGUAUCUUAGCCAGUUAAAACGAAGGCGGAAGUGCGCGGCGCUUAGUCAGCAGCCAAGAUGGCAGCGUUGACGCAUGCAAAUUAUCCCACGGAAGACACAAACAAUGCAACUGGCGAACAGAGGGUUAAUAAAUAAAAUCUAAUUAAUUAUAGUUUAGCCCAAAUGUGGUCAAAUCAGGGCAUAUGAAUCCAUAAUCCAUAGAAUAUUAAAAUAAUCUGGAUCAACCUAGAAAUGACUUUAUAUUACAAAAUUUAAAGAGUUGUACUAGGCCAAACUCUUAUAUCUUAUAAUAUUUCUUUAAAAAAUUCUUAUUUAAGUAAGCUUAUAUCCUCCAGAAAAAUAGUCUAAAUAAAUGAUGUAAUCCUCCAGCUCCCACUAUUAUUUUGGCCGCAUCUGUUUAGGCCAACACUCCAAGGUAUUUAAUUUAUUUACGAACCCUGCAGUGCCCGCUGAUUGAGGUUCAACAAACUUGGUGUUGCGGGUUGCAGGUUGCAUGGCCAAGUGGACAAACGGUGGCCAGUGGCUGGUGGCUAGUAGCUGCUGGCCAGUGGGCAAUGGGCAAUGGCAAAUGGGAAAAGUGGCAAGUGGAUGGCCAGGCCGGGCUAACCAGCCAAGCGGCCAGCCCAAGCACUUUGCUUAUUAAAGUACAACAGCCGUCGUACAUCAGGCGAAAUUUAUUAUGAUGAUGUUGUUUGCUAUGUGCAUAAAGCCAGGCAAGAAAAAAACAAUAAUAAUAAUAACAACAGCAACACCGCGACCAGGUAACAAUGAGGAAAAUUUAUUAUCGGUGCGGCAUCGAAUGGUUUUUAGCUUCGGCGUUGGUUUCGGAUUUGCAAUUUGCCUAUGCCCGCCAGCCACCAUGAAAGUUGCACAUUUAACGGAAGGGCCGGCAAUUGCACUCUGCACAAAAGACAAUGCAUUCAAAAUGUAAUUCUCCAUUUUUUGUAUUAUUUUUUUAUUUCCCCCCAAUUUUUUUCACCGAAAGGGCGAGCUCUGCGUUGGUGUUUGCUUCAACCACAACACUUUCCUUCGGAAUGGGCAACGUGUCGCAUAACCACCAGGGAAACGGGAAGAGCUCGAGGGCUUCGGAUGGCAGGAGAGAUGGAAGUGGGACUCCAGACCACAACAAAGCUGUCUAGCGGCCACGGGAGAGAUAGUCAGCCGGAAUGGCCGAAGGCGAUUGUGGUCAAGACACCUGGAACUUUUACAAGCAUCCGCCCUGAGAUGUAAUAUUUGAAACCGCCAUAAAAUGCAUAGUUAAAUUUUUGUUGUUUUUAUUUCAUAAAUAAAAAAUAUUUAUGAUGUGAUUUUUCCAAAUGUGGAAAUUGUGGUGAAACUAAAGCAUUUUACAUUUUAUUUCUUUCUUUAUUACUCUAUUGAUUUUUGACCAUUUUAUGCUCAUUUAACGGCCCAUGUUAAAUAAACAUUCAUUUCUGAAAACUUCGACAUUUGUAUCCGAAUAAACACAAUUUGAUUUAAAUAACCGCCCAAGGUUUCCGCUUACAAACUCAUUACAACCACUUUUAUAGUUUUUGCCUAUCAAAGGUAUACCAAUUCUUAUUUAGAUGAAGUGAUGUAUGAUAAUCACGGACACAACACCCUUUUAACCAUAGUGUAUCAGAGGUAAUACUAUACUAUACCAACAAGCAAAGCUGCAAAAAAAAUAUAAAAUUAUAUGGCUGAAGGGGAAAAAAUCGAGUUGCGGUUACAUUAUAAACGGACGAAUGAACAAAAACUGCUCCAAACUGAAAAGAGCUGUCAGUUGGCAGGGCAGGGCAACCUCCAGCGAAGGGCGCCAGUUCAAAAUUUUGUACAGCCCGAGGCUUCAAAAAUAUAUACCUCUACAUAUUAUAUGCAGAAAACACUUUCAUACUUUGAAAACGCUUUCAUACAUACAUAAACUAAAAUUUUACUAGUAUUUAAAGAAACACUAAACUUCUUCAAAAAUAAAAAAUUUAUAAACAAAAUAUCUUGAACAGAGCUAGGAUCAUAUGAUUUAUAAAUACAAGUGCUUAUGAAACAACCGACUGAACGCAAUCAGAAGAAGCUGAAAGUGCAGCUUGCACAGUCGUUAAGAGCACUCUUUAUAUGCACAUAAUGACUUUUGAUUGCCAUUUGCUUAUUUGGAGCAUUAUUUAAGUUUCAUUAACAAAUACUAAAUUGCUUUCGAAAGUACAACACCGAGUGAGCAGCGAAUGAGUGAGUGAGUGAAUGAAUAUGAGCUCGCUAUUCGCCGACAGCUGCGACAACGUUUGAUUGACGCCGUGGCCAGUUGUCCAGGCCAGGCCAGUCAGUGAGUCCGAGGAGUUGGCCAAAUGCGUUGGGUAGAAAUUAACAGGCAACACUUUCGCUGGCAUUUCUUUUGGCCCGGCAUUUCUAUAGAGAUAGAGAUUUCACGUGCCAAGCAGCUUAAGGCCUUCGUUAAAAGGCAGAAAUAUUCAUUUCAUUAAAUUUAAUAUUUUCAUUAGUCGACUUUCAGAUUGUCAGACGGAUCUGCGGAUUUGUGGAUCUCCGAGCGGAGAUAAGCCUAUCCCAAAAAGGGGUAAGCAGUCGCAAUGCUGACAUUAUUGUGACGGCCGGACGGGGAUUUAUGUAUUAAUUACCAACCUCCUUUUUAACUCUUUUUUGAGUGAAUGAAAGUGCGGAAAGCUCUCCGACAGUCGCGAAAGGAAAGGAUAAUGGGGGAUCUGACGGAUUUCCCAGAUGUCUGCGCAAAAUUUCAGUUAAAUAUAAUGCUCGACAUGCAGCUGAGUUUUUAAAUUAUACGCUAUUAUCACAGCUGCAUAUGUGUUUUGCUUUCAACUAAAGUAUUUCCGUUUGAAAAGGUAAGCUUCACAGGGUUGAAAAACUCUAACAACCCUAAUAAAAGCUAUAUAAAAGUGGUAAUUGAUUUUAAAAACAUAAUUACAAAACACGUGUUUCCUAAUGGAUUCUUGACCACUCAGUUCAAAAAACCCCCCAAAAAAUUGGGGCGUUCACCUUGCCUCCGUUUUUCGAUUGAAGAUAACCGAAAGCCACCGAAAAAAAUCCCAGUUGAGCUAACAAAAAACAAACAAGUUCGUAUUAACUUUGAUCUUUGUUACACAAUCGUGCCCGCUGACGCAAGUAUCGAAAAUCAAGCGCCGAAAAUCGAAGAGGUAAAAGCCCGCUCGCAUGACCAAGGAAAUCGAUGUUCGAUUCGAGGCGACUUUGGCUUAUAUGGCACGGCUUAGUUCCGGCAUAAUUUAGCACCAAUUUCUAUUUGCUUUUCACUUGGCUAAUGGGAUGGCGUUUAUGCGCCAAUAUAGCUGGCACCCAGCAAAACAAUUGCCCUGCCAAGACCAAGAAAAAAAGGUCAUGGUAAAAUUGGUAAAAUUGAAACUGAAAUUGCACAGCACUUAGAGCGCGAAAGUCGGCAUUGUUGUUCCGCUUAUAAGUAGUAUCUAUGUGUCUAUUCAGAUACAAUCGCAGAGGGAAUAGCGCAUUUAAACUUAAAUUGCAUUGCCAUGGCAAUUGUACAAAUGGCGCAGCAGCGGCGUAACAAGAAAUCUAUUUCUGCCCGAAAGUUAUAAUUGCCCCAAGAAGGGGCACAGUUGACCCCCCAACCCCCUGAAGGUCGGAAAAGUUUUCUUUUAUUUUUUUUUUUUGGGAGGCCCAACCUUAACCAAUUUAGGGCGCGUGCGCUUUUUGUCCGUCCUCAGUGCUCAUUUCCAGCUUUUCUAAUUGGCUUGACAUGCCCCCAUGGGCUUUUGUCUGCACUAACUGCACUUCGAUGUUUUGUUGCAUUGCAGCCAGUGACGAAUAUAUUUGCAUUUGCCACAUCCCCAAGCAGCCGAUGACUUACGGCCCCACAUAUCGCAUAUCGUUCGAUAUCGCCAGAAACCCACACAAAAAGCCUGGCCAACAGCCAGCUAGAUUUGUGCCGGUUCAAUGUCUGUGUCCAUUUUCAUUGGCAAAUAUUUCACCAGACUGUCAACAGGCGGAGUCAUAAAAAACCCAGAGUACAAUUUUCACCCGAGCAAUAGAGGUGCCAAGUUAUAUCGUAUAUUGGGAAAUUACUAAUAAAAUAAUACAAAUAUUACUAAUUAUUUCGCACUUUUUCAUCAGCUAAGCUUUGAUAUCUAUCGAUUGAUAACAAAUAAUUUGCCAUAACACUUGUGAUUUAGUACGUAUAUAUAAACCGCUUAUCUCUCGAUUAAAAAAUAUAUUUUUAGCACCCUGUUAGCCACCAAGAAAUCUAGCUACUACCUAUCUGAAGUGCCAUUACCAUUUUUUUUUUUAUUUUUUGGCUCAGUCUGGCUCAAUCAAUACGACUUACCGGCUAAGCCGUGUAACCAAACUCCAGAGCCAAGUAUAGACGAAGCCAAUUGUCCUCAAAACAAAAAGCGAGUGAGAAAGACUGCGACACUUUUUGGCACUCAUAUAAAAAUAUUUAAACUUGACACUCUUUUGGCCAUUGUCUAUACGUCCGACGACAAAAGUCUCUUGACAGUUGUGUGUGUUUUUUUUUUCGUUGGAUACUGGCUGGGUAAAUUUGCUUUCAUAGCUGACCCGAAAAUAAUUAUAACAGCGACUAUAUGGCCAGACAAACAACUAAACUAUGUUUAUGUUAUUCGCUUUUCUAUGUACUUGGCUCAAGGUUCAUGGCUUUAUUAAAUUGCUUUGGCUAAAUAGUGGGUUCAUUAAGUUGUUGGAGCUCCCACAGCGACCCUUUUUGGCAUUGAAAGCAUAGCCAAUUCGUAAAUGGGGGGGAAACUUAUUUCCAGUUUUGUGCUGCUUUUUCCAUUGAUCGAUUCCGCCUUUUGUUUCUUUUGGUUUUUUAUUUUGGCACGGAAAUGAAGCCAAUUUGAGAGCAAACACCAAAGCCAUCCGAUUGAAAAUCUUCCCUGCUUUUGCUUUGGUUUUAUUUCAUUUGACCAAAAACUGGUUGCGCUUCGUUUUAAGAAGUUUUCGUAGAAGCAUUUUUGAGUUGUCUUUGGUUUUAUGGCCAAGUCAUAAGCCAAGAUCGCAGGGGGCAAUUAUUCUAGCUGCUAAUUUGAAAAGUGUACGAGCAUAUAUAAGCAUCUAACAUCUAAGCAGCCAUGGUAGCCAUAAAUCACACUCCGCUUAGCCGGGCCAAGAAUAACUGGCCCAAGAAUUUGCGUUUAGAAAGUCAUGGUUUGGAUUUUGAGCAAGAAGCCAAGUCGCGUUCACUAAUUAAAGAGACGGCACACUGUUACUCAAUAAGCAGUGUGUUUGAGGAAACUUAAGUAACCGUUUAAUGGCAGUUAUAUCCAAACGCUUUUUAAAAUGGCCGUAAACCGAAACUAAGGCAUCGUACUACAUGAUCUCCUUAAAACUAAUGCGAAUUUCACAUUUUUAGUUAAAGCUUUACUACAGUGGGUUAAGUAUACAGGCACCUAACUAACUCAUUCGCUAACUAAAAUAUUUCUAAGCACGUAUUUCUUCAAUCGUUGUACCACUGUGCUUUUAUAAGUUCCUAGUCGGCGCGCUGGCAAAUUGGUUUUUUAUUUUGUUUACUGGCCUCUGGGCGAAUGGCUACCAGAGCUACCAAGGGUAAGCAUAAUUAGACGCCGGGCCACUUGGCCAUUUGGCCACUUCGUCUGCGAUCUCCGCGUGGUCUGAGGAGGACUAAACGCCGUAGAGAUGCCGUUCAGGUGCACUCGAGGAACGCACUUGCCGCAUGAAUUGCACUUAUUCGGGGCAUUUGGCGAGAGGCGAGUUAACCGGCGGAUUGUGUUCAUAAGCACUCGGCUAAUGAGGCUGAAACAGCGCUGGAAUUCGCAGCAUUUCCAUUAGCUUUAUGUAACACAAGCACAUUCAGCGUUUACCUUCAUUGAAUGUAAUGUAAUAAAAAGGCUGGAGAACGUCAGCCAAAGACCUUGCUGGUUUCCAGUUGUAGCUUUAGGAUGAUGAUGAUGCCCCGCCGACCAAACCCAAAUCCAAACCCAGUUAAACCCAAGCCUAUUAGAGAGGCGCUGUGGCAUUUGCAUGGCCGUGGCCGGCUGAAUGCGACUAACAUAAUCGCCGCAAUUGAACAGCGAGCGGCGGCUUUUGGGCUUUGGGAACUCGGAUCUGCUGACAGGGGCAAAUAAUUUCGAGGAACACAAGCCAAAAUAAGACUACCAGUGGAGAACAGCGGCUUUGGUUUAACAAUUCAAUUAGAUGGAUUCACUGACAGUGUGCAGCUGGCAUCAAAUUGAAAGAGAUGCGAGGCAGCUGAUUAGUUAGUUACUUAGUUAGUUACAGCCCAGCCUCGCAAUCAAAAGGGCAAAGAUUUGCAGAUUAUCUUUUUAUUUCUUAGCGCAGGGUUAAUUUAUCCAAACAGCCAUCAAAAGUGACUUUACUUGCUAGUUCAGUUAGCCAACUUUAUGCUUGUAACUAGCAAUUAAAUACUUCACAAGAAACCAAGUUUUAAGUUUAAAAAAAAAACAUUAAACGUUUUCAGAAAAACUACAAAGCUAAUGCUCACCUUUUUAGCAUUGAAUUAUACUUGCAAAUUUGAGCAAAAAAGAAACAGUUUGAAGAUGGAGAAGAACAUCAUAUUCUUGGUCACGACUUUGUUGGCCAACACAAAGACAUUUGAUGAUUUAUAGAGUUUAGUCACAAUAGGCCAAAAGCUGCACAACCAGUAGGCAAAAGUGCACUUUUGACAAUUCCCCUCAAAUUAAAUCACGGCAAUUUAUUAAUUUUCCAAAUUAAAAAUUUACAAGAAACCAACUACAUGCAACUAAUUAGACUAGUGCACGAUAGCUGGCAGUAACCAGUUUCUUUAACUCAUUGAUAAAAAUAACACAAACCAAGCUGGCUUACAAAUACAGUUAACAGAUAGAGCUCCAAACAUGGCCAUGUGAUGCACUGUCACUGCAAAAGCGCCAUAAAAGACUUGUUUGCAUGCUGGCCAGCCUCUAGACUUCGUUUUUUUUUCUAUUUACCAGCCGGGUAGCAGAAACUUGGCGAAAAUAAUAUGGAAAGAAAAAAAAAACGCACAAGCUAUUCGAAAGGCUAUUAGAGACAGAGACGGCGAUUCCAGUGGUUAGCUUUAAAUGAGGACGACGACUAAUAUCCAUGCCGAUCGAUAAAUGCGGCCGCCAAUAACUGGAAAUACACAUCAAGUAUACGACGCGCUGACAACGACACAUUUGCGGUUCACUGGGUAUUUGGGGUGUGGAUGUCGGACUUGUUGGUUUGUCCGUCCGUUAAUAGCUGGGCGCAGUCUCUAGCCGCUCAACAAUGUUUUUUUUUUCUUUUUUGGAUGGGCUAGUUAGGGGUUUGCCGUGCUUAGGAGGUCUGCGGUUAGCCGCCAAGUUUUCUAUUCUUCACCACUUCCACAUGUCCCCCAGUUUUAGUGAAAAUAUUCCUUAGAUGACUCAGACAUAAGUGGGAAAUAUUCAGGAAGGUUUUGAUGCCUUACAAGAAACAAGAGGUUUUAAGAUUUGCCACACAUUGCUGUUGAGGAUAAGCCGCAUUAGGUAAAGCAGUUCAUUUAAUUUACGGAUUGUUCCCCAUCUUAUUUCCCUAAAUGGUCACAUAUACUUGCAGCUCUUGAUCGAAACAUACAUAUUUAUUAUCUUAAUAAUCUUCACUCGUAAUUACUAUAUAGUAAACGUUGCCGGUUCGUUGACUUAUUGAAAAGGCCAUGGCUGUGCAUAAUUCAUAAUGAAAUUGUAUAGUACGUGGAAGCUUUCUUUGUGGAGGUCAUAAAUUUUCCGCUUUAACUGAGCUCCCAUGCCAAGGGGACACCUUAAGCGGCGCCAUAUGGGCAAAGUCAAGCGGCAGAGGCAAAAAAUGUAUAUGUACAGAAAAAGCCAAAAUUGAAAUACGAGCGCAAGAACAUCGAAGUAUCUGAGAAGCGGACAACAAGAAGAUGUUGUGAGUAGAAGCCCAAGUAGUCAGCGAGCACAGACAAGUGAUUGCAAAAA